UGGGGAAUCUUGCGCAAUGGGCGAAAGCCUGACGCAGCGACGCCGCGUGAGUGAUGAAGGCCUUCGGGUUGUAAAGCUCUGUGGAGGGGGACGAAUAAGGACGGGUCAAUACCCCGUUCGAUGACGGUACCCCUUUAGCAAGCACCGGCUAACUCUGUGCCAGCAGCCGCGGUAAGACAGAGGGUGCAAACGUUGUUCGGAAUUACUGGGCGUAAAGCGCGUGUAGGCGGCUGAGCAAGUCGGAUGUGAAAGCCCUGGGCUUAACCUAGGAAGUGCAUUCGAAACUGCUUGGCUUGAGUUCUGGAGAGGAAGGCGGAAUUCUCGGUGUAGAGGUGAAAUUCGUAGAUAUCGAGAGGAACACCGGUGGCGAAGGCGGCCUUCUGGACAGUGACUGACGCUGAGACGCGAAAGCGUGGGGAGCAAACAGG
rnacentral:rRNA from 1 species